GUGCUCGCUUCAGCAGCACAUAUACUAAAAUUGGAUCUGUACAGAGAAGAUUAACAUGCCCCGUGCACUAGGAGGACACACAAAUUCAAGAAGAGAAAGAAAAGAAA